AUGGAGUCAAGUACAGCACUUAAAAGCAUCACUUCAGGACAGCAAAACUGUAGGGUCUUUGCACGCCUGAUAAGGCUUUGGGAUGCUAAAAUAAUUAAUCCCAGAUAUGGAGAUGGCUUGCUAAGCAUUGAUGGCAUUCUCUUAGAUGAAGAUGGCAACAUGGCACAGAUGAGUGUGCCCAAAAAAUAUGAAAAACAGUUUCGUGGAUUGCUAUCAGAAGGAUCUGUCUACAUUAUUUCAGAUAUUGUGGCUAUUGAUAACAAAAGCAAAUCAUAUGUCUACCACCAUCAGAACUACAUGUUGCAAUUCAAACAUGACACAAAGGUCCAUGCAUUGCACUCAAGAGGAGCAAAUAUACCUACUGUUUCCUUCAACUUUUGUCCAUUUGAUCAGCUGCCAAGAAAAGCAAUUGAUUCAAAACCACUCCUAGAUAUUAUUGGAGUAAUAAGUGAUGUUAGUCCAUACGAUUAUGCUACCCCAACAUCUCAGAACAAACUUCGGAAGAUAAAAAUCCGAAACCUAGAGUAUGUCUUUCUUGCAACGAUGCCACUUAUUUUCUUCCGCAAAGACCCUUUUUCCUGCAAUUCUAUAAGUAUACCUUGCUUUUCCAAUGAACAAACGCAAGAAGUAGUUCUAUGGGGCAAACAUGGAGAAUCAUUUGAUGAAGAAGCAAUACUUAAAAAAUCUCUAGAAGGAAUUGUGAUAGCUAUUUUUGCUGGUAUAACUGCAACUUCACAGAAGUUUACAGGUACAAUACAAGGAUCUUCAAGUUCGGCAACACAGGUGUAUCUUGACCUCAAUAUACCUGAAGUUCAACACUAUCGCAGCAGCUACCAAUGGAAAUUUCCAACUCUACAAAAGAAUCUCCCUAAAGUCGCACAUCUAUCUCCACUUGAAGCAGCAGGCAAGCUGUAUACCAUUGAACAAAUAUCUACCUUGCCAACCACAUCUUUUCAGGGAGGAGCAACAUUCAGUACUAUUGCAAAGGUGACAUCCAUUAUACCAUCAGUCAAAUGGUACUACAAAGCAUGCAAGCGGUGUGGAAAAGAUUACAACAACAUGUCAGAUACCCCAACAUGCGCCUGCCAAUUUCCUGUUCCAUGCCCAAUGUAUAAGCUCCCCCUUACACUAACAGAUAGCUCAACAAGUUUAGAUGCAGUUGCAUUUAAUAAAGUAGCUGAAGACUUGGUUGAGCGUCAUGUUGAGCAAGUUUCUAUGAACAUGAAAAUAGAUGCUGUGGAUCAGGUGCUUUCCCUGGAUAAAGCCAUUGGUAAAGAAAGGUUAUUCUAUAUAGGAAUGAAUAUUGAUUCAACUGCCAAGUACCCUAUAAAAUGUCCUGAAAAAAACUUUCCCCGUGGACAAUACCAAAUCGGUUCCUCUAUUAACUGCUUCAAAGGUAAGAACUUUUUGAUACUCAUUACCUUCAUAUAUCAUCCUAUUAACUUGACAUGUGAAGCUUUUUCAGUCAGCACAAGAUAA
rnacentral:rRNA from 1 species